CGCGGGGUAGAGCAGUUUGGUAGCUCGCAAGGCUCAUAACCUUGAGGUCAGGUCACGGAUUUAAAUCAUGUCUCCGCAA
rfam:Brassica napus, WGS project CCCW01000000 data, contig: 18936